rnacentral:rRNA from 1 species
GAAAGUAAAUAAGGGCGCAUGGCGGAUGCCUUGGCUCUCGGAGGCGAUGAAGGACGUGAUAAGCUGCGAUAAGCUUUGGGGAGGUGCAAAUGACCUUUGAUCCAGAGAUUUCCGAAUGGGACAACCCAAUAUCUUGAAGAGGUAUUAUCCAACUUUGUUGGAGGCUAACGCAGGGAACUGAAACAUCUUAGUACCUGCAGGAAAAGAAAAUAAAUAAUGAUUCCCCUAGUAGUGGCGAGCGAACGGGGAUUAGCCCAAACCACCCAUGUUACGGCAUGUGUGGGGUUGUAGGACCACGCUCUCGCAAGACAGUUAUUGAGAAGAAACGACUGGAAAGUCGUGCCAUAGACGGUGAUAGCCCGGUAUUCUAAGGUAACCGAAGCGUAGUGGUAUCCUGAGUAGCGCGGAGCACGAGGAAUUCUGCGUGAACCAGCCGGGACCAUCCGGUAAGGCUAAAUACUCCCGAGAGACCGAUAGCGAACCAGUACUGUGAAGGAAAGGUGAAAAGCACUUCGAAUAGAAGAGUGAAAUAGUCCCUGAAACCAUGCGCCUACAAGCGGUCGGAGCAGCUUAAGUUGUGACGGCGUGCCUUUUGCAUAAUGAACCUACGAGUUACUUUUUCCGGCAAGGUUAAGCAUCUUGAGAUGUGGAUCCGAAGCGAAAGCGAGUCUGAACAGGGCGGAUAGUCGGAAGGAGUAGACGCGAAACCAAGUGAUCUACCCUUGGGCAGGUUGAAGGUUAGGUAACACUAACUGGAGGACCGAACCGAUAAGCGUUGAAAAGCUUCCGGAUGACCUGAGGGUGGGGGUGAAAGGCUAAUCAAACUUGGAGAUAGCUCGUACUCCCCGAAAUGCAUUUAGGUGCAGCCUUGCGGGUUACUGAUGUGAGGUAGAGCGACUGAUAAGAUGCGAGGGCUUCACCGCCUAUCAAGUCUUGAUAAACUCCGAAUGCGCAUUAGUUCUAUCUCAGGAGUGAGGGCAUGGGUGCUAAGGUCCAUGUCCUAAAGGAGAAGAAUCCAGACCAUCAGCUAAGGUCCCCAAAUAAACACUAAGUUGAACUAACGAAGUCAGAUUGCUAAGACAGCUAGGAUGUUGGCUUGGAAGCAGCCAUUCAUUUAAAGAGUGCGUAACAGCUCACUAGUCGAGGAGUUUGGCGUGGAUAAUAAUCGGGCAUUAAGUGUUUUACCGAAGCUAUGGGAUACGUAAGUAUCGGUAGGGGAGCAUUCCACUCAGCGUUGAAGGCGAAGCGUGAGCUUUACUGGAGCGUGUGGAAAAGCAAAUGUAGGUAUAAGUAACGAUAAAGGGGGUGAGAAACCCCCUCGCCGCAAGACUAAGGUUUCCUGAUCAACGCUAAUCGGAUCAGGGUUAGUCGGGUCCUAAGGCUCAGCCGAACGGUGAGGCCGAUGGCAGAACAGGUUAAUAUUCCUGUACUACCUAUAAGAGUGAUGUGGAGACGGAGGAGUGACAACGCCGCGGACUGACGGAAUAGUCCGUUAAAGGGUGUAGAUGUUGAUUAUCCCAGGCAAAUCCGGGAUAAGAGUCGAACCUGAUAGUAUACCAAUUUCCUCGGAAAACGGUAAUAGUGCGUGUAAACAUACUCCCAAGAAAAUCCGCUAAACUUAAUCUUAUAGGUACCCGUACCGUAAACGGACACACGUAGUCGGGUUGAAUAUACUCAGGCGCUUGAGUGAAUCACGGUUAAGGAACUAGGCAAAUUGACCCUGUAACUUCGGGAUAAAGGGUCCCUACCCGGUGACGGGAGGGCGCAGAGAAUAGGUCCAGGCAACUGUUUAACAAAAACACAGGGCUGUGCAAAAUUGAAAGAUCACGUAUACAGCCUGACACCUGCCCGGUGCUGGAAGGUUAAGAGGAGAUGUCAUCGCAAGAGAAGCAUUGAAUUGAAGCCCCAGUAAACGGCGGCCGUAACUAUAACGGUCCUAAGGUAGCGAAAUUCCUUGUCGGGUAAGUUCCGACCUGCACGAAUGGUGUAAUGAUCUGGACGCUGUCUCAACCGUGAGCUCAGUGAAAUUGUAGUAUCGGUGAAGAUGCCGAUUACCCGCGAUGGGACGAAAAGACCCCGUGAACCUUUACUAUAGCUUAACAUUGAAUUUGGGUAAUUGAUGUGUAGGAUAGGCCGGAGACUUUGAAGCAGGCACGCCAGUGUUUGUGGAGUCGCUGUUGAAAUACGGCCCUUUGGUUAUUUGAGUUCUAACUCGCUGAUGCGAGGACACUGUUUGGUGGGUAGUUUGACUGGGGUGGUCGCCUCCAAAAGCGUAACGGAGGCUUCUA